GGUGGGUUGGCAGAGCGGUUGAAUGCGCUGGUUUCGAAACCCAGUAGACCUUCACAGGUCUCGGAGGUUCGAAUCCUCCACCCACCGCCA
rnacentral:tRNA from 1 species